GUCCAGACUCCUACGGGAGGCAGCAGUGGGGAAUAUUGGGCAAUGGGCGCAAGCCUGACCCAGCAACGCCGCGUGAAGGAAGAAGGCCCUCGGGUUGUAAACUUCUUUUAUUCGGGACGAAACAAAUGACGGUACCGAAUGAAUAAGCCGCGGCUAACUACGUGCCAGCAGCCGCGGUAAUACGUAGGUGGCAAGCGUUAUCCGGAUUUACUGGGUGUAAAGGGCGUGUAGGCGGGAGAGCAAGUCAGACGUGAAAUUCCAGGGCUCAACCCUGGAACUGCGUUUGAAACUGUUCUUCUUGAGUGAUGGAGAGGCAGGCGGAAUUCCUGGUGUAGCGGUGAAAUGCGUAGAUAUCAGGAGGAACACCGGUGGCGAAGGCGGCCUGCUGGACUGCGACUGACGUUGAGGCCCGAAAGCGUGGGGAGCAAAUAGGAUUAGAUACCCGCGUAU
rnacentral:rRNA from 1 species